rnacentral:rRNA from 1 species
UACGGAGGAGGCAAGCGUUAUCCGGAAUUAUUGGGCGUAAAGCGUCCGUAGGUGGCAAGUCAAGUCUGCUGUCAAAGCAUGGAGCUUAACUCCAUUAAGGCAGUGGAAACUGAGUAGCUAGAGUACGGUAGGGGUAGCGGGAAUUCCCAGUGUAGCGGUGAAAUGCGUAGAGAUUGGGAAGAACAUCGGUGGCGAAAGCGCGCUACUGGGCCGAAACUGACACUGAGGGACGAAAGCUAGGGGAGCGAAAGGG